UCAGCGGCCAUAUUGACAACUGGCAAAGUACUGCUUGAAUCCCUGAGAAACGGAGGCGCGUGGUUUCUGCAUCCUGGUUGGAAAGGCCCGAGGAUGAGAAAAGUGUCCACGUCGCAGAAAGGAAGGAUUUCCGCCGGUUUGACUUAACAGUUGGCGGGAGCCGUUCCAAAGUCUUCCCAGAAAGUCUGCUGCGCUGGCGUCCACAAUGGGUCAGAAGUGGGAUCCAAGGUAGAGCUUCUAAUGAGCCCUAGGAGCACUGAGUGAACAAGCAAGGUACCUGCAGGACCCACUUUUCGUCCAUUGAUCUCUCAGAGCCCCUGGGGAUCCUGGCUAUGGGUGACAGGAUAAGGCAUGUACAGGACCAUGGGACAUGGUAGCUUUUUCCUCCCCAAAAGGGGAAAUUUGAGAGCUUAUGGGACUGCUGGAAAAGAUCCCUUUGCUACCAACAAGUGACUGCUUGAACUUUUCAGUGUUGCUAAAAUGGGACACAAUUGGAGAAACUGGUUAUGUUACCAAGACUUUUACUGGAAUGGUGUGUUUUCCUUUUAGGGAUCAAAUU